UACGAGUGGUGCAAGCGUUGUUCGGAAUCACUGGGCAUAAAGGGCGCGUAGGCGGCGAAGCAAGUCGGAAGUGAAAUGCCUGGGCUUACCCGAGGCACAGCUUCCGAUACUGCAUUGCUGGAGUGCGGGAGGGGAAGACGGAAUUCCAGGUGGAGCGGUGAAAUGCGUAGAUAUCUGGAGGAACACCGGAGGCGAAAGCGGUCUUCUGGCCCGUAACUGACGCUGAGUGCGCGAAAGCUAGGGGAGCAAACAGG
rnacentral:rRNA from 1 species